rnacentral:misc_RNA from 1 species
CCAGAAUAUUAUUGAUAAUUAAAUUGCCACUCUUACACACAUAUAUACAAGACCAUCAAAUACAAACAAUAGACGUCCUAUGACUUCAACUGAAAUGGAGCCACCAGAAAUUCUAUCAUCCUACUCCUGUACGGCCGUACGGCUACUGUCAUCCUUCACCGGAGGUCCCUGACCAAUAACGGUCAAUAUAACAAAAGCCGCGUAUAAUAUUGCAACCACAGCAGUGAAGUUGACGAGCAAGGCCUCAGGGCUGUAUUUGGCAAGUCCCGAGUUCUCAAGGAAUGUGAGCUUCUCUAAUAACCCAAUUGCAGCAUUUGCAACUGCCAAAAUAUACGCGAACGCCCCUAAUAACACAUGCCAUGGCAGGGACUCGCUCAUAACUGCAGUUGAACCUCCAGGGAAGAAAAAUACAAGAAAUCCGUAUAUCCACUGCAAAGUAAUUUAGAUCAAGUUCCAUAAAAAAAUUCACUCCGAAAAAGGUAUUAAUAGAACCCUAUUCUAGAAUCAUUGGUGGAGCCAAAAUCUCCUCCUAUAAUAGGAUGUGGGGGGCAACGGUAGGCCUAGAAAGUUGCGAGCAUUGGAGGGCGCCUCCCCUAACUCUGCUGCCUCCAAAUGUACCAAUUGAUAAGGUACGUUACUGCUGUGAUAACUAUUAUAUUAACAAGUAUUUAAUGGCCAUGCGACUUGGUGGCCAGAAACGUGCCAAUAUAAUCCAUCAUUUAGCUCGCUUACAAUUCCUGAUUGAGCAAGAAACUAUAUAAAGUGAGUUGGUGAUUACCUGAAUGCCAUAGAGGACAAUGAUCGUGAUCCCAAGCCAUGAAUGCAGGCUGUAAAGGUUAGCAAUGCCGCUCUCAUUAUGAAAUUUAAAAACCGUGUAGAUGCCAAUUAUACCCAGAAUUAGUGCAACGGCAUGGAGAACCAGAUGUAUGAGUUUCUUCUCUUGUUUCUUCAAAGGAAGUGAUUUAUAACUUAUAAUGGCUUCGCCUCCUAUGAUGAUCAAGCCAAUUAGCAUCAAAACGGGAUGAAUAUUGAAGAUGAGACUUUUGUUGGAAGCUUCCCAGGCCAAGCCACCUCUAAAGUGUAUGCACCAAACCAAUACCAGAACCGCACCAGCGAUCGCAAGUGCGUGCGUAACAAACGUGAAUGGUAGUGCUUUAAACUCGAAAGCCAUAUAUGCUCACCUUGGUUUCUUCUUCUCAAUCAGCUUGAAACCAAAGGAUCACAGGGAAGAAAAAGAAGAGAGAGAGAGAGA